CGCCCCGAUCCGGGUCCCGUGGGGGGAAUCCGUUUCGGGGGGAAAAGGGAAGCGCCCCGACCGUCGAC
rnacentral:ncRNA from 1 species